GUGUGCAUAGCUCAGUGGUCAGAGAAUCCCUGCAGAUUGAGGUGGUCAUGGUUUCAAAUCCCAUUGCACACA
rnacentral:tRNA from 1 species